GGCAGUGUUGCUUAGUGGGAAGAGCCCUGGACUGGGAGCCUAGAAAUCUGGGUUCUGGUCCCAGCUCUGCCA
rnacentral:tRNA from 1 species